CAGCUAACAGGGGUAGGGAAUAGGCAAGGCUGGAAGGAAUGACUAGAGAAGUCCAAGAUCUUAGGGAGGUAAGAUCUCUGUUCACCCACCCUGUGCCAAGGGAACAGAGGGUGCAUUGGUAGACAAAUCAAACUUUGAAAGUGAUCAGAGAAGCAACACCAGCUGUCCAGAGUUCCACCUGUGGCAAGAUCUGUUUGUGAGCAAAUUGAGUCCUAUCCAUGAUUCCAGAAUGUGCAGACCAGAGAUAAGAACUUCAGAUGGUAGAGAUGGGUUAUGAAGAACACGACAUCUGAAUGUUACUGUCUCUUCCCUGGACUGGGUUUAUAAAGAGUCUACAUUCCAACAAUUGUCUUGCCUGUCUUUCGCUGCACUUCAGGGAUUAAAGGACAUUCUGGCUUU